UCCCAGCGGUCCAAGUCGCAGCCACAAUUAUUGGGUCUAAAAUAUCCGUAGCUUGCUUUACAAGUCUCUUGUGAAAUCUGGCCUCUCAAAGGUCGGGCGUGCAAGAGAUACUGUUUAGCUAGAGACCGGGAGACGUAAGGAGUACAGUCGGGGUAGCGGUAAAAUGCGUUGAUCCCAACUGGACUAACAAUAGCGAAGGCACCUUACGAGAACGGAUCUGACAGUGAGGGAUGAAGGCUAGGGGCGCAAAGUG
rnacentral:rRNA from 1 species